GAUGAACGCUGGCGGCGUGCCUAAUACAUGCAAGUCGAGCGAACGGACGAGAAGCUUUCUUCUCUGAUGUUAGCGGCGGACGGGUGAGUAACACGUGGAUAACCUACCUAUAAGACUGGGAUAACUUCGGGAAACCGGAUCUAAUACCGGAUCAUAUUUUGAACCGCAUGGUUCAAAAGUGAAAGACGGUCUUGCUGUCACUUAUAGAUGGAUCCGCGUUGCAUUAGCUAGUUGGUAAGGUAACGGCUUACCAAGGCAACGAUGCAUAGCCGACCUGAGAGGGUGAUCAGCCACACUGGAACUGAGACACGGUCCAGACUCCUACGGGAGGCAGCAGUGGGGAAUAUUCCACAAUGGGCGAAAGCCUGACGGAGCAACGCCGCGUGAGUGAUGAAGGUCUUCGGAUCGUAAAACUCUGUUAUUAGGGAAGAACAGAAGUGUAAGUAAAUGUGCACAUCUUGACGGUACCUAAUCAGAAAGCCACGGCUAACUACGUG
rnacentral:rRNA from 1 species